rnacentral:lncRNA from 1 species
UUGUUAGGGAGUAGAGAGCAAGUCAUGAAUAACAAGGGAUUCUCACUUUCUUUAAGGAGAGAGCUGUUUCAGUGAUCCAAAGAGACUGUGCUAUGUCUAGAUUUCUUCCAGAAGAAGUUGACAUUUACAAUGUGGAUUAGUCUUCCUGCUAGAAGGCGAAGUCAAAGAUUUGGAGGAAUACUGAUUUUUGUCCCUCAGCUUUUGAAAGAAGAUAUAGCAUCCCCCAGUAGAAUGGAAGAAAAGAUAGAGGAGGAAGAAGACAAAUUCAUGAAAAAGUGAGGAAUCCAAAUAAGAGAGAAAAAGUUGAAACGUUGGAGAAUGUGGCAUACAUGGGAAAGAUGAAUAGAGUCACUGGCACAUAGUAGGUGCCUAUCAAAUGCUUCUGAGAUGAGACUAGAAAGAUUACUGAGCUCUUGGAACUAGUUAAUUGGCAUAUUGUUGUUGUCCCCAUAGAGAAUGCAAAUAGACCUUCUGAAGAGGAUGCUCUCAAUGCUUCAUCCUUUCUGCCCCUGAAAUAGCAUUCAAACCAUUUUUUGGUUGUUGCUUUGGGUAGUUGGAUGGUACAAUGGUUGGAUACUGGAACCUAGGAUCAAGACCUGAGUUCAAAUCUUGCCUCAGAUGCUUCUGAACUGUAUAUUCCUUGACUCAGAUCCCAAAAAGAAGCAUACAAAGAAGACUACAGGAGAAGUGACCUUAGAGGUCAUCACACCCAACUCUCCUGAUUAUAACAAUGAAGGUUUACAGCUUAGAGUGAAGAAGAGUCACUUGGAGGAGAGACUGGAAGACAGACACUCAGACUUGGAGUGA